UGAGGAAUAUUGGUCAAUGGGCGAGAGCCUGAACCAGCCAAGUAGCGUGCAGGAUGACGGCCCUAUGGGUUGUAAACUGCUUUUAUGUGGGGAUAAAGUGCGUGACGUGUCAUGCAUUGCAGGUACCACAUGAAUAAGGACCGGCUAAUUCCGUGCCAGCAGCCGCGGUAAUACGGAAGGUCCGGGCGUUAUCCGGAUUUAUUGGGUUUAAAGGGAGCGUAGGCUGUCUAUUAAGCGUGUUGUGAAAUUUACCGGCUCAACCGGUGGCUUGCAGCGCGAACUGGUCGACUUGAGUAUGCAGGAAGUAGGCGGAAUUCAUUGUGUAGCGGUGAAAUGCUUAGAUAUCAUGACGAACUCCGAUUGCGCAGGCAGCUUACUGUAGCAUAACUGACGCUGAUGCUCGAAAGUGCGGGUAUCAAACAGG
rnacentral:rRNA from 1 species